rnacentral:misc_RNA from 1 species
UGGGAUUUGAAUACUACAAUGGAUGCUUGGGAAGAUUCUGUUAGUGAUGUAGUUGUAGGUCAAGUAACAGCUGAUGGGCCACACAUGGUUGGUGUCACACAUGAUGUCGAGCCAUUGAAAUUAACAGGGAUGGUUGGAACCGGUGUUGCUACUGAAAAGAAUAUUGUUGAGAGUGAGUGCAGAUCUAGUUUUUCUAAAAUAUCUUCACAAUCUGG